CCGGAACAUUAUCCAGGGUUCUUCUGCCGCACGACAGUGCCUCCUGAGUGCUCAAAUAAAAGCCUCUUUAACGUGGGAUUGUAAUGAGCAGGCAAAGCAUGCUCUUCAACGGCGAGACAAAGGUUGCUGACUCCAAGAAUUUGUUUUCCUCAGUAAAUAUUAGCAAUAACUUAAAUGUUUAUAAGAUUCAUCUCAUGGAUUCUUGGGGAUAUGCAUGGAAUCAGGUACAGACAGUGCAAAGGUGGUGUGCCUAGUGAGCUUGGAUGUAUCAAACAGCUGUAAGAAAAUCUCUCCAACCUUCUCUGAAUAAAGGAGGAAUGUGGUGUUUAUUGAGGAACAGGCAACCCUUACAUUUGAAUAAAAGAUGCCAUAUAGAAGCAAGUGCAUUCGUCCCACCUCACCAACAGCUUGAAGAGUCA
rnacentral:lncRNA from 10 species